rfam:Ictidomys tridecemlineatus contig013852, whole genome shotgun sequence.
UGGGGUGUGGCUCAGUGGUAGAGCACUUGCCUAGCACAUGUAAGGCACUGUGUUCCAUCCUCAGCACCACAU